rnacentral:rRNA from 1 species
AUGGUCUCCGGCGUGGCUUCUGGGAGGCGGAGGAGAUGCGACGAGCGGCUGGGUGCCGGCGACGACGACGCCGGCCUGCUGCAUCGCGGCCGGCGGGGCUUAACGGGCCCGCUUCGGGCCUGGCUGGGCCAGGGGUGGCCCGGCAUGCCCCGUUGCCGCUUCCGGACGGCUACUGCGACGGUGCCGGAGGCACGGGCCUCCCGCACGACGGCGGUGGAGGUGGUUCCCUCCCGCUCGACGUCGGUGUUGCUGCUCCCGUCGUGAACCUGGCGGCGCAAGAGAAGGCGCCUUCUAGCACGAAGCUUCGGGCAACAAGAACUUCACCGGGAAAGAGACGAUUUGCCGGCCACUAUGGAUGAGAAUGAGGUCUACGACCGAGCCUCGCUUGGAUCUACAUCAUCGGUAAACAAAAUAAUCCAUCCAGAUAUCCAGGGCAGAGGCUUAUCGAUGGCUGGAUGGAUUCAUCAGGAGGUCCUGGGCUUGACGAGUGCAUGGCUUUCACGGGCCUUGGUCGUUUUGAGCUUCUCCACGCAUCUUAUCGUCAUCCUAUGUGCUGGGGUACGUCGGCAUAAAGCCACCGGUGUGCGGUGGUUCUUUCUGUGUGUGAUGUUCCCGCUGGCCGAGAAGGCCUCGACAUAUGCCCUCAGCAACCUCUUCUUCGACAGCACGUCAAGCGAGCACCAGAAGCUCAUCGCGUUCUGGGCCCCAUUUCUGCUGCUAAACCUCGGUCGUGGAGACAACAUCUGCGCAUUAUAUUUGCAGGACAAUGAGCUCUCAAAUCGUGAAGCGGCGGGUGCCAUCCUAGAUGUGGUGGCCUCCAUCUAUGGGGCAUACGCACAUAUUGGAGGCGACACUUCGUUGCUACCAGCGUUCUUGGUUAUGCUUGUCUUGGGGUUGUGGAAAUACUGGGAGAGAGUCAGGGCGCUACAGAAAGGCAGAAUGGACAGAAUUCGGAGCACAAUUGAGGAGGUCGAGGGCCAGCAGCCAGUUACUGUCUACCCAAGUGUACAUGGGGAGUUGGAUAAUAAGAAAGCUCUGGAAUCUGCACACUCCCUCCUCCAUAUCACCAAGGGUGCCUUCACUGAUAAGUCGUUCAUGCUGACAGAAGUGAAACCAAAUGGCGAUGAAUCUUCCUGGAAGGGGAUAUCCGCUGGAGAAUGGAACAAUUUGAGCAAGGUGGUGGAGAUGGAGCUCUCUCUCAUGUAUGAUAUCAUGUAUACCAAGGCAACGAUGGUCCACACAUGGAUGGGCUACUUCAUCCGUUCCAUUUCACCGAUUGGCACCACCACUGCAUUCGUGCUGUUUUCCUUGCACGGUAGAGAUGGCCAGUCCAGGUUUGAUAUCAUCAUGACUUACAUCUUGCUGGUUACCACCUUCCUCCUGGAUAUGAGAUGGCUGCUCACAGCACUAGGCUCCAGCUGGGCAUAUGAAGCCGUGAAAGAUACAAAGCCUCUUCUCAUGCUCAAGGUGUACAAGAUAUGUCGCUUCAUUCUGUAUCUGGAUCCAUCCCGGCUCUCCUUGUCCCGGCCUCAUAUCAGGCCGACAGGUAGCCACAGGAGGUGGUCAGGCAUCAUCGGUCAGUUCAACUUGUUGCGCGACUGUACUGGGGAAGCCGAUGAGAAUUCAACUUCAUGGAAAUUAGGCGAACUGGUGGUGAAAAAGCUUGCAUCCGAUGAGAAUUGGAAGGAAUACCGAUAUUGUUACUUGAGGGGCCUCAACAUUCUAGAACCUGAAAGGGACAAGUUGUUCAAACGGAUAUUCCAAAAGCUGGAGUCACCGUUUGGAAAAAACAAGGGUAAGAAGAAAAAGGAGCCCCUGGGGCAGCAACCAGCCUCCCCCCCGCCCAUGGCACCACAGUUCCACUGCCACCACCAACACCCCUGCUACCCCUGCCCCAACCCCGGUUACCCUUGCCCCGCCCCCGACGCCUACUACAACCCCGGUUACCUUUGCCCCGACGCCUACUACAACCCCGGUUACACCGGUUUCCCUUGCUUCGACGCCUACUACAACCCCGUUUACCCCGCCGAUUAUCUUCCCUGGAUUCUCCACUGCUACCCGGUGCCAGUGCCGGAGACACUCAUGACAGAAAGGAAGGAGGGAGCUAACAUCAGAAGGGACAGGGCAUUAGACGAACAUCUGGGAUUCGAUCCAGAAUUGUCUGAGGUCAUUCUGACCUGGCACAUCGCAACAGAUAUUCUCCUGCAGCACAUCGGUAAGGACGAUCCAUUGCCAAAAUAUAAGAAAGUGAUCAAGGCGCUGUCAGAUUACAUGAUGUUCCUCUGGGUUGUACGCGCAACCAUGCUGCCAGGCCUUUUGCUUCGUAGCCACUAUGAACACACGAGGGGAAUUCUGGGUGAAAUAUGGGAAUCUGAAGAUUGUAAGAAACAUUGCCCUGAACGGCCUGAAGGCGGUUACGUCACAGAGAAGCAUCGUCUUGCAAGUUUCCUUCUGGAGAAGUAUAAGGGGGCCGGUGAAAGCAGCAGCAGCAGCAGCCAGAGUCAUUCCGGAGAAAGUCUUUUUCUUUUGGAUGGCAUUCAGUAUGCCAAGGUGCUGCUACUUCUGCAUAGGGAAACAGAUACGGAAAUUACCGGAAUUCUCAAAAAGGUUAAGAUGGGGAAGCAGUCAUCUGAAAGACUUAAGAAGUUGAUGCCGAAGCUGUGGUCUCCUAAGUGGAGCACGAGAAAGGAACCAUCUGAAGAACCUAACAAGUUGAGGGAACUGUUGAGUCUCAUCUUUGACGCAUGGGUCCGUUUGCUUAUCUUUGCAUCCAAACGGUGUAGCAGGGAUUCCCAUGCCAAGCAGCUUGGCAGUGGCGGUGAGCUCAUAACCAUUGUUUGGAUCCUGAUAGAACAUGCCAGCAUACUUCGCAUCAAUAACACGAUUGACGGAUCUGCUGAGAGCGACGACGAAACCUGA